rnacentral:rRNA from 1 species
ACCUGUGUUUACAAUACCCUUAGAUCACCAAAUCCUGUCUGAUCUUGAAAGCUAAACAGGGUCAACCCUGGUUUGUACUUAGGUGAGAGACCACUAAUGAAUACCAGGACAUGCAGGCU